rnacentral:rRNA from 1 species
GGGUUGUGAGGUUAAGCGACUAAGCGUACACGGUGGAUGCCCUGGCAGUCAGAGGCGAUGAAGGACGUGCUAAUCUGCGAUAAGCGUCGGUAAGGUGAUAUGAACCGUUAUAACCGGCGAUUUCCGAAUGGGGAAACCCAGUGUGAUUCGUCACACUAUCAUUAACUGAAUCCAUAGGUUAAUGAGGCGAACCGGGGGAACUGAAACAUCUAAGUACCCCGAGGAAAAGAAAUCAACCGAGAUUCCCCCAGUAGCGGCGAGCGAACGGGGAGCAGCCCAGAGCCUGAAUCAGUGUGUGUGUUAGUGGAAGCGUCUGGAAAGGCGCGCGAUACAGGGUGACAGCCCCGUACACAAAAAUGCACAUGCUGUGAGCUCGAUGAGUAGGGCGGGACACGUGGUAUCCUGUCUGAAUAUGGGGGGACCAUCCUCCAAGGCUAAAUACUCCUGACUGACCGAUAGUGAACCAGUACCGUGAGGGAAAGGCGAAAAGAACCCCGGCGAGGGGAGUGAAAAAGAACCUGAAACCGUGUACGUACAAGCAGUGGGAGCACGCUUAGGCGUGUGACUGCGUACCUUUUGUAUAAUGGGUCAGCGACUUAUAUUCUGUAGCAAGGUUAACCGAAUAGGGGAGCCGAAGGGAAACCGAGUCUUAACUGGGCGUUAAGUUGCAGGGUAUAGACCCGAAACCCGGUGAUCUAGCCAUGGGCAGGUUGAAGGUUGGGUAACACUAACUGGAGGACCGAACCGACUAAUGUUGAAAAAUUAGCGGAUGACUUGUGGCUGGGGGUGAAAGGCCAAUCAAACCGGGAGAUAGCUGGUUCUCCCCGAAAGCUAUUUAGGUAGCGCCUCGUGAAUUCAUCUCCGGGGGUAGAGCACUGUUUCGGCAAGGGGGUCAUCCCGACUUACCAACCCGAUGCAAACUGCGAAUACCGGAGAAUGUUAUCACGGGAGACACACGGCGGGUGCUAACGUCCGUCGUGAAGAGGGAAACAACCCAGACCGCCAGCUAAGGUCCCAAAGUCAUGGUUAAGUGGGAAACGAUGUGGGAAGGCCCAGACAGCCAGGAUGUUGGCUUAGAAGCAGCCAUCAUUUAAAGAAAGCGUAAUAGCUCACUGGUCGAGUCGGCCUGCGCGGAAGAUGUAACGGGGCUAAACCAUGCACCGAAGCUGCGGCAGCGACGCUGAUGCGUUGUUGGGUAGGGGAGCGUUCUGUAAGCCUGCGAAGGUGUGCUGUGAGGCAUGCUGGAGGUAUCAGAAGUGCGAAUGCUGACAUAAGUAACGAUAAAGCGGGUGAAAAGCCCGCUCGCCGGAAGACCAAGGGUUCCUGUCCAACGUUAAUCGGGGCAGGGUGAGUCGACCCCUAAGGCGAGGCCGAAAGGCGUAGUCGAUGGGAAACAGGUUAAUAUUCCUGUACUUGGUGUUACUGCGAAGGGGGGACGGAGAAGGCUAUGUUGGCCGGGCGACGGUUGUCCCGGUUUAAGCGUGUAGGCUGGUUUUCCAGGCAAAUCCGGAAAAUCAAGGCUGAGGCGUGAUGACGAGGCACUACGGUGCUGAAGCAACAAAUGCCCUGCUUCCAGGAAAAGCCUCUAAGCAUCAGGUAACAUCAAAUCGUACCCCAAACCGACACAGGUGGUCAGGUAGAGAAUACCAAGGCGCUUGAGAGAACUCGGGUGAAGGAACUAGGCAAAAUGGUGCCGUAACUUCGGGAGAAGGCACGCUGAUAUGUAGGUGAAGUCCCUUGCGGAUGGAGCUGAAAUCAGUCGAAGAUACCAGCUGGCUGCAACUGUUUAUUAAAAACACAGCACUGUGCAAACACGAAAGUGGACGUAUACGGUGUGACGCCUGCCCGGUGCCGGAAGGUUAAUUGAUGGGGUUAGCGCAAGCGAAGCUCUUGAUCGAAGCCCCGGUAAACGGCGGCCGUAACUAUAACGGUCCUAAGGUAGCGAAAUUCCUUGUCGGGUAAGUUCCGACCUGCACGAAUGGCGUAAUGAUGGCCAGGCUGUCUCCACCCGAGACUCAGUGAAAUUGAACUCGCUGUGAAGAUGCAGUGUACCCGCGGCAAGACGGAAAGACCCCGUGAACCUUUACUAUAGCUUGACACUGAACAUUGAGCCUUGAUGUGUAGGAUAGGUGGGAGGCUUGGAAGUGUGGACGCCAGUCUGCAUGGAGCCGACCUUGAAAUACCACCCUUUAAUGUUUGAUGUUCUAACGUUGACCCGUAAUCCGGGUUGCGGACAGUGUCUGGUGGGUAGUUUGACUGGGGCGGUCUCCUCCUAAAGAGUAACGGAGGAGCACGAAGGUUGGCUAAUCCUGGUCGGACAUCAGGAGGUUAGUGCAAUGGCAUAAGCCAGCUUGACUGCGAGCGUGACGGCGCGAGCAGGUGCGAAAGCAGGUCAUAGUGAUCCGGUGGUUCUGAAUGGAAGGGCCAUCGCUCAACGGAUAAAAGGUACUCCGGGGAUAACAGGCUGAUACCGCCCAAGAGUUCAUAUCGACGGCGGUGUUUGGCACCUCGAUGUCGGCUCAUCACAUCCUGGGGCUGAAGUAGGUCCCAAGGGUAUGGCUGUUCGCCAUUUAAAGUGGUACGCGAGCUGGGUUUAGAACGUCGUGAGACAGUUCGGUCCCUAUCUGCCGUGGGCGCUGGAGAACUGAGGGGGGCUGCUCCUAGUACGAGAGGACCGGAGUGGACGCAUCACUGGUGUUCGGGUUGUCAUGCCAAUGGCACUGCCCGGUAGCUAAAUGCGGAAGAGAUAAGUGCUGAAAGCAUCUAAGCACGAAACUUGCCCCGAGAUGAGUUCUCCCUGACCCUUUAAGGGUCCUGAAGGAACGUUGAAGACGACGACGUUGAUAGGCCGGGUGUGUAAGCGCAGCGAUGCGUUGAGCUAACCGGUACUAAUGAACCGUGAGGCUUAACCUUACAACGCCGAAGCUGUU